AUGGUCAAACAAGUUUUUGGACAAGAAAACCCUGAUAUUUCUUUCCAUAGGGAUCUUUUAGGACCUCUCCUGGCAGCAUGGAAUGAAUUACUCAUACGUCUGGAGGCUAUUUGGCUGUCAGGAGAACCGGAUAUCUUUCGAUGGAAGUUGCACCAGAAUGACAAGUUUUGAGUCAAGUCCAUGUAUGAUGUAAUGGUUCAUAGUGAGGUUCCGGUUGAUAACAGAAAAUUGUGGAAGCUCAAGAUUCCUCUAAGGGUGAAGAUAUUCCUCUGGUUCCUAAAUAGAGGGGUCAUUUUAAUUAGAGAUAAUUUGGCACGACGCAACUGGCAAGGUAGCAAGCAAUGUGCCUUUUUCCAACAUAAUGAGUCUAUUAAACACUUACUUUUUGAGUGUAAGUUUGCUCGGACAGUUUGGGCCAUAGUUCAAGUAGCUUCAAACUUGUACCCCAUGUAG
rnacentral:rRNA from 1 species